AGUCUUCAGGGCAAGGUGAAAUUCCUUACCGGCGGUAAUAGAGAAGAUCUUAGUCCGCGAGCCGACAGGCCGAUCCGGUGCGAUCCCGGAACCGACAGUACAGUCUGGAUGAAAGAAGAU
rnacentral:ncRNA from 1 species